UCUGUCUCUCUCGUAUAUUGAAAUCAGAUCUAAAAAGUUUGAAGAUCUUCAACCAUAAAACUCAAAACCAAACCACAAUCAUCUUCAAAGCCAAAAUCCCCAUCCCCCCAUCUUCGGCCGCCCUUCCUCUCCGCCACCCACAACCAACCCUUAGCCGCCGCAUACACCACAAGACCCCAUCCCGUCGAUCCGCCACAAGACCCCAUCUCUCUUUGCUCACUCUGUUCUUUAAAGGGUUGUUGAUUUUCAGUGAAACUGGGGAUAAAGUCAUCGGCUCAACAUCAUCAGAUCGGAUGGGAUGGUGACCAGUCACGGCCAGAGAUACCGGCUACAGUGGCGAUGAAGGUGGUGGGUGCUCGAGAUGAUGGUAUUGACGAUGAUGGUAGGUGGUGGGUGCUCGAUGAUGGUGGUGGAGUGCCGAUGACGGAGGUGGUGGGUGCUCGAGAUGAUAGUUUGAGUCGGGUCAAUGAAGGUGAUUUUUGAUCAGUGGACUAUGUGGGUUUGAUAUGUUGGAUGGGGGUGGCGAUGAUGCAAAAAAAAAAAAAAAAAAAAAAAAAAAAAA